AAGACUGGACAUCACAAAAUACAUUACAGGUAAUGAUUUAAUUACACUUUCUCAAUUGCUAAAUGUUCAAGAUACACCCAUUCAAAGGUACUAUGGCCAUGCUGUCAUCAGCAUCAGAUUCUGACUAAUUACCUCCACAAUUUCUUACUAGUCUGGGUGCUAGAAAACUUACUUUUCAUAGUGGCAUAUGAUUCAAUAAACUGGAGAUAGUCUCAACAUCCAGUGCAACAAUGAGUGUACAUCCAUCUCAAAGGCAUCCAGUGAGAUCAUAUGGCUUCAAG
rnacentral:lncRNA from 1 species